rnacentral:snoRNA from 1 species
AUGCAAUGAUGAUUUUUGAAUUUCUUCACCUGAAAUAAUAAUAAUGAAGUUUUAUUGAGCUUUUUAACCCUGAGCAUC